rnacentral:rRNA from 1 species
UACGGGGGGAGCAAACGUUGUUCGGAAUUACUGGGCGUAAAGGGCGCGUAGGCGGUCUUCUAAGUCUUGUGUGAAAUCCCUCGGCUCAACUGAGGAACUGCACGGGAUACUGGAAGACUUGAGUUCGGGAGAGGGAAGCGGAAUUCCGGGUGUAGCGGUGAAAUGCGUAGAUAUCCGGAGGAACACCGGUGGCGAAGGCGGCUUCCUGGACCGAUCACUGACGCUGAGGCGCGAAAGCUAGGGGAGCAAACGGG